GGAAUUUAUUGUUUAAUAUUUGAAUGCCCACAUGUGACACUUGGAUUAAUCGACUUGAUUUGGUAUAAGUCUUUUGUGAGUUAUACCUCAAGUUGAGUUUGAAACACAGUUUCUGAUUACUGGUGCUGCCAUCUUGGACAUCAAUCCUAGAGGUAACAGAUUUGAACAAUAUUUUCAGCACAAUCCCCAUUUAAGACCUGUAGUAGCUUCCACUUUCCUGUUUUGUCUGCCUUAACCUCCUUAUUCUAACAUCAGGACCUAGAUGAAAGUUUUCCUCACCACUUUUCUGACCUCAUCUCUCUUUAGUCUCUGGCCAAUGCCCUCAAUAGAAGCGUUACCGCUCCAUUCCUACCUCCUGGAGGGAGAUUUGCAAAUGCUUUUGAUGUCCCUUCUCAGCUUCUGUGUCUGCUUCUCAGAAAUGCUGUUGGAAGAAAAAGGAACGUGUGCUCAGGAGAGAAAGCCAAGGAUUGUGGCUGGACAACAUCUUGCUGGUGCCUCUGAAGGUGCAUCGAGCCCAGAGGGAGGAGCUAAAACCCCAGAGCGCAGAGCUGAGAAUCACAGAAGAUUAUUUCCAGGCUAGAAACCAAAUGGAGUUUUCCUGGCUGGAUUUCAAAAUUGCUUGGGAAUGGUAAUUUUUUUUCCUUCAUUUUCUCCCUUUUUUGUGAAUAAGUUUCUAU
rnacentral:lncRNA from 1 species